rnacentral:rRNA from 1 species
UACGUAGGGGGCUAGCGUUGUCCGGAUUUAUUGGGCGUAAAGAGCGUGUAGGCGGCCAAGUAGGUCCGGUGUGAAAACUCGAGGCUUAACCUCGAGAUGUCAUCGGAAACCAUUUGGCUAGAGUCCGGAAGAGGAAAGUGGAAUUCCUGGUGUAGCGGUGAAAUGCGUAGAUAUGCGGAGGAACACCGAUGGCGAAGGCAAUCCCCUGGGCCUGCACUGACGCUCAUGCACGAAAGCGUGGGGAGCAAACAGG